GCCUUCGUGGUGUAAUGGUCAGCACGCUGGACGAAUAACUGAGAGGUCCGUGGUUCGAGUCCCGGCGAGGAUA
rnacentral:tRNA from 1 species